rnacentral:rRNA from 1 species
CAGCAGCCGCGGGAAUACCGAGGGUGCGAGCGUUAAUCGGAUUUACUGGGCGUAAAGCGUGCGUAGGCGGCUUUUUAAGUCGGAUGUGAAAUCCCUGAGCUUAACUUAGGAAUUGCAUUCGAUACUGGGAAGCUAGAGUAUGGGAGAGGAUGGUAGAAUUCCAGGUGUAGCGGUGAAAUGCGUAGAGAUCUGGAGGAAUACCGAUGGCGAAGGCAGCCAUCUGGCCUAAUACUGACGCUGAGGUACGAAAGCAUGGGGAGCAAACAGGAUUAGAUACCCCGGUAGUCCCUGUCUCUUAUAC